rnacentral:tRNA from 1 species
GGAAGCGCAUGGGGCCCGGCGGCCCUCCUGGUCUUCAAAACCAGCGUGCUCGCUCCGAGAGGGGCGGCGGGUGGGUUCGACCCCCACACGCUUCCGCCA